rnacentral:rRNA from 1 species
UGGGGAAUAUUGCACAAUGGGCGCAAGCCUGAUGCAGCAACGCCGCGUGAACGAUGAAGGUCUUCGGAUCGUAAAGUUCUGUUGCAGGGGAAGAUAAUGACGGUACCCUCUGAGGAAGCCCCGGCUAACUACGUGCCAGCAGCCGCGGUAAUACGUAGGGGGCUAGCGUUAUCCGGAUUUACUGGGCGUAAAGGGUGCGUAGGUGGUCUUUCAAGUCGGUGGUUAAAGGCUACGGCUAAACCGUAGUUAGCCUCCGAAACUGGAAGACUUGAGUGCAGGAGAGGAAAGUGGAAUUCCCAGUGUAGCGGUGAAAUGCGUAGAUAUUGGGAGGAACACCAGUAGCGAAGGCGGCUUUCUGGACUGCAACUGACACUGAGGCACGAAAGCGUGGGUAGCAAACAGG